GUGACAAGAAAUAACAAUACAGGGCUAUUGUCUUGUAAUUGGAAUGAUGGGAAUUUAAACACCUUUCAGAGUAGCAAUUGGAGGGCAAGUCUGGUGCCAGCAGCCGCGGUAAUUCCAGCUCCAAUAGCGUAUAUUCAAGUUGUUGCAGUUAAAACGCUCGUAGUUGAACUUCGUUCUGAUGUUGUUUCCGGUCUUAACUGGCUGUGUAAAUUACAUCAGAACUAAUCGAUGUAUUUGGGAGUAAUCCCUUGUGCGUUGAAUUUUACCGUGAGAAAAUUAGAGUGCUUAAAGCAGGCUGUGCCUUAUAUAUUCCAGCAUGGAAUAAUAAGCAAUGACUUUUUUCAUUCUUAUUGGAUCAGUGAGAAAAGUAAUGAUUAAUAGGAACGGGCGGGGGCAUUCGUAUUUAACAGCCAGAGGUGAAAUUCUUAGAUUUGUUAAAGACGAACUACUGCG
rnacentral:rRNA from 1 species